AUUGAACGCUGGCGGCAUGCCUAACACAUGCAAGUCGAGCGAGCGGCGGACGGGUGAGUAAUGUCUGGGAAACUGCUUGAUGGAGGGGGAUAACUACUGGAAACGGUAGCUAAUACCGCAUACCAUCAGAUGUGUCCAGAUGGGAUUAGCUAGUAGGUGGGGUAACGGCUCACCUAGGCGACGAUCCCUAGCUGGUCUGAGAGGAUGACCAGCCACACGGGACCUGAGACAGGGUCCAGACUCCUACGGUAGGCAGCAGUGGGGAAUAUUGCACAAUGGGCGCCAGCCUGAUGCAGCCAUGCCGAGGGUGUGACGAAGUCCUUCGGGUUGGAAAGCACUUUCAGCGGGGAGGCGUUACCCGCAGAAGAAGCACCGGCUAACUCCGUGCCAGCAGCCGCGGUAAUAC
rnacentral:rRNA from 1 species